GCCUCCACUUGAGCAUCCGGCUGGUGGGUAUGUCCUCCAGAGUCAUGGACUCUGGGAAGUUGGAGAGUCGAGGAGUCCGGUUUCAGUGGCUCCGUUUCCCCGGUUACCGAAUGAGCCGCACUUCACUCGAGGUUGGGCUGCCCAGGAGUAGGUGCCAGUUUCAUAAAGGCCUGAGGGAGUUCCUAAAUGCCCAACUUCAGCCUUCAGCUGCCAGAGAGAAAAGCAAUACUCCCAGGGACCACCAGUCAGCAGUGUGGUUGUAAGGCCCACCACUCAAGACCUCUGGAGCUAUGGCAUGAAAGGAACCCAAAUCAACUAUCUGCUUCCUACUGCCUUCUCAGACCUGUUGAAACGUCUUGGAUUCUUGUUCAACCUAAGAAAGAAGACUUAACUCUACCUUUACAUCACGAUGGAUGAUGCCCAAGUCAUGGAGAUAGCCUGUGGAGAACAAGUACAAGGACCAGUUCAGCUGCAAAGAGACGGACAGAAUCCUCUGGAAAACAACCAACAGUGGACCACAGGGAGUAGAGAUCCAUGCUGCAGUAGCUACACACUGCAAAGCACCAGAAGUCUAGGCAAUACUGAGGAUUUACGUUGAUGCUAUACUACACCAAGAUGGAAACAUACAGGGAAGGCAGAAUCAAGAAAGCAGAGCCUAGUGGUACCGCAUCAUCUGUUGCUAUCAGCUGCCGAGGCUUUACUACUGGUAUUCCUAUGAAAAAGCAGCAAACCAACAGUGUGAUUCUUUUCCUGAAGCUGCUUUGGCUGCCACUCUAUUCUCCUG
rnacentral:lncRNA from 1 species